GAAGUCCAAGCAGCAACCCUACU
rnacentral:misc_RNA from 1 species